UAUUAAUGGCCUGUACUGUUUGGUGUGUGAAAAGAGAUGGUAUGCAAGAUGGACGCAGCUGUGACGUAAAGCUCUUUCUAAUACCAUCAUCUUAAUUACUUGCUGUAAUGUUAAACCUCUCUCCUGGGAUUAAAAAGAUCUUAUUUGCCUUAGUUUGAGAUAUGGGCAGCAGCUACCUUGUUCCCACCUGCUUGGCCACCUGGUUCCACGAAACACCUGUAGUUACACUUGACCCAGGUACAGCACCUGUUAACUCAUAGACAGACUCGGCCAGAAGCUGUUCCUCCUCCGGACUCCAUUUGCCUGGAAUUUCGUAAAUUCUAUCAGAUUACCUUGAUGAGAACAGGGCUUGAGAAGACGAAAUUUAUCUUUGACUGAUGAAGCACUUCGACCCAUCUCUGUUCCAAUGGAUGCCCAGUCAUUACCAUACUGUUCGUGGAGACUGAAAGACAAAAUAUGUUUA